AUGGCUGAGGAUACCAAGUUCCUCCUUUUGUUGCUCCUCUUGAACAGCUCAACAUUGUGUUUUAGUACUAAACAUGAUAUCCAGUGUCUGAAGUCUGUGCAACAAUCAGUGAUUGAUCCCUUGUGUGUACUCAAAUCCUCUUGGAACUUCAGAAAUAACACCGACGGUUACAUAUGCCGCUUUACUGGUGUGGUAUGCUGGCACCCCGACAAAAACAGGGUUCUCUCUCUGCGACUCAGCAACCUAGGACUUGAAGGCCCAUUUCCCCAAGGUCUUCAAAAUUGCACAAGCAUGAGUGGCUUGGACCUGUCGUCUAACAACUUUUCAGGAUCCAUUCCCUCUGGUAUUGCACAUCAGAUACCGUAUGUGACAUCUCUGAAUCCCUCAUACAAUAACUUUUCAAGUGAAAUCCCAGAGAGUAUGGCAAAUUUGGCAUACCUGAACAUGGUCAACCUUCAACAUAACCAGCUCGGAGGUGAAAUUCCAGAGCACUUCAGCAUGCUCGGUCGGUUAACCUCGUUCAAUGUUGCAGACAAUUUGCUAUCAGGGCAUAUCCCCACUUUUGCACAGGACUUCUCACCUUUAAAUUUUGCCGGUAACCGGGACCUUUGUGGUGCACCAUUGGACGAGUGCCCCCGGAGUCGAAGAUGGAUGCUGGUACCAAUCAAGCUACGCAGGAUCAAUGAAGAGUCUAGUAUCGGAGCGGCUGUCGGGUUUGUCCUAGGGUUCGUGGUGGCCUUCUACUUCCACUUGUACUGCUGUGAGAGGCUCCUUCCUUAUGUCUUCCGC
rnacentral:rRNA from 1 species